UCUUCAAAACAAUCAGAAAUACAGUCAUCGUCAUUGGCAAUAUCAGUCUCUGGUGUGGCCGCCGGCAGCUGACCAGAUCGCCUAAGUGAGGACAAUUGGAGAGCGAUGGAAGACAGUAAUGCAAUGUGAGGGCAGAGGAAGAAGAGGGGAGUGCAAAGGAUGCUGGGUAUAUCUCAGGAUGGGGUUCCUCCAGUAUGUCUGCUCCACAGCCUCCACGUUCAAACUGCUCUCCUGGACAGAAAAACGGAUUUAGCGAUCUUCAGUAAACAUCUAUGUGGGAGGAAAAGAGGAGAGUGUUUUGAAGCCAGCGAAGCAGAAAGAAGAUCACGGCACACAGUACAGUGUCCUUGAAGAUCUUCUCAUCCGGCUGCACCACAGAGCAGAGACUGUUGAGGACCAGAGUUCCCAGUUUGGAAGCGGUGCGCUCCGAUGACUUGUAAUAGUCCAGAGAGUUAGUGCCAGAGGUGUCGUACAGCAUACAUAAGCACAUGAAUCACUCUAACCUCAUCAAAGAUUCCAGAGUGUGUCUCAACUGACUAACCUCUGACUAAGAACUCCUGUCCGUCAACCCUGAAAUCUCCCUUGGAUUUCUGCAGCAGGCCGAUCCAGUGGUGCAUCUCCUCCGGUGUGUCUGUGUUGCAGUGGAUCACCCGGUUAGCCGUAAUGAUCACAAACGAGUUUGGUCUGUAAAACAGAACACAUAAACGUGUUGUUAUACAACUUACCUGCUGUCAUACCACUUAGACUGCAGUCUAAAUACAUCUUUUAGGUUUAUUGGUUGAUCCUCACCUGUCGGGGUUGUCUGAUGCACAAACAGAAUCAAUCAAGCCCACAUCUAGUGUUCCCUGGACAGAGAGAAGAGGGGUGGAUUUGAAAUGAUGUUAUUAACUGUUCAAUAAGAUAUUACAUUGCCACAUGGUACUCCAAGCUGUUUUAUUUUAAGAGUGUAAUUCACUAUUUGAUUAGGGUGUCAACGACCAUGAAAUAAAAAAAUGUGAAGGGGUUUUAAAGAGGGUAACGGCCUGGGUAUGAUUGAAACUAAGCAGUUUGUACAAUAUGUCGUCCGACAAUGUCUGAAGGCAAAUGUGUGUAAGCUUCAAACUCUUUGUCUGAAGCUUACAGUCCCAUUAAGUGGGUGUUUACAGUAAUAUGUUAUUUAUACUGUACAUAUUUGUUAUCUAAUUUCUAUAUAAUGUUGUCUUUCCAUAAUUUUGUUAUCCGGUUACUUUUUAUUUUAAAUCUGAAAUUCCCAUUAAAUCCACUGCAAUCUUUUAAAAGCCCA